rnacentral:lncRNA from 1 species
UUAAAAAUAAAAUUAAUCUAGCAAUCAUGUGUAUAAAAUGUUCUCUUGUUUAGCUAAAUGUUGCAUCUAAUUGGUUGGGUAACUUACAAAAUAUUUGCACAUGAAAGCUAAGGGCAAAAUUGGUAUUUAUAAAAUUAAUCUAACACUUUUUGUCACUAUUCUUAUUUAUUCCAAGAAACUUACCAAACAUAAUUUCUGUUAUUUUCAGAAAUAAUCGUUUUACAAACCAAAUACUAUUUUAUUUUUAUCCCUGAUUAUUCUAGAAUAGCAGACUAUUCCAGAAUUAAACAAAUUUAUCCCCAAAAUCAUUAUUCCCGAACUAAAUGGUAC